rnacentral:rRNA from 1 species
GUGCUCGAGUGGCGAACGGGUGAGUAACACGUGAGUAACCUGCCCUUGACUUUGGGAUAACUUCAGGAAACUGGGGCUAAUACCGGAUAGGAGCUCCUGCUGCAUGGUGGGGGUUUGGAAAGUUUCGGCGGUUGGGGAUGGACUCGCGGCUUAUCAGCUUGUUGGUGGGGUAGUGGCUUACCAAGGCUUUGACGGGUAGCCGGCCUGAGAGGGUGACCGGCCACAUUGGGACUGAGAUACGGCCCAG